UACGAAGGGGGCUAGCGUUGCUCGGAAUCACUGGGCGUAAAGGGUGCGUAGGCGGGUCUUUAAGUCAGGGGUGAAAUCCUGGAGCUCAACUCCAGAACUGCCUUUGAUACUGAGGAUCUUGAGUUCGGGAGAGGUGAGUGGAACUGCGAGUGUAGAGGUGAAAUUCGUAGAUAUUCGCAAGAACACCAGUGGCGAAGGCGGCUCACUGGCCCGAUACUGACGCUGAGGCACGAAAGCGGUGGGGAGCAAACAGG
rnacentral:rRNA from 1 species